rnacentral:lncRNA from 1 species
GGGACACAGAGGGGACACUUUGGGGACACCCCCACACUUUGGGGACACCCUGACACUUUGGGGACACCUUGGGGACACCCCCAGACCUUGGGGACACCCCCCACAUCCCGGGGACACGCAGGGUGUCUGGGCUGUGAUGCUGGUGACGUGAUGUGUCACCCAACGGCCUUGGUCAUGUCCCUUGACACCGGCCCUGGGCUCUGCUGGGGGUGGCCCCGGGGGUGUCAUUGUCCCCAACAUCGUCCCCAACAGCCUCAGUCGUGUCCCCAACCCUGUCCCUGGGCUCUGGGGGUGGCCCCAGGGGUGUCCCUGUCCCCAAAGCUGUUCCUGACACCGUCCCCAACAGCCCUGGUCAUGUCCCCUGACACCGUCCCUGUCCCCAACAGCACUGGUCAUGUCCUCAGUGCUGUCCCCGACACCGUCCCCAACAGCCCUGGCUGUGUCCCCUGACACCUUCCCUGUCCCCAACGCUGUCCCUGUCCCCAACAGCCCCCCCCUUACACUGUUUGUGUCCCCAACAGCCCUGGUCAUGUCCCCUGACACUGUCCCCAACGCCGUCCCCCAACAGCCGUGGCUGUGUCCCCAACGCUGUCCCUGUCCCCCAACAGCCCUGGCUGUGUCCUCUGACACUGUCCCUGUCCCCAACACUGUCCCCUUACACUGUUUGUGUCCCCAACAGCCCUGGCCGUGUCCUCUGACACUGUCCCCAUCCCCAACACCGUCCUCAACAGCCCUGGUCAUGUCCCCUGACACCAUCCCUGUCCCCAACGCCGUCCCCCAACAGCCCCGGUCAUGUCCCCAACGCUGUCCCUGUCCCCAACAGCCCUGGUCAUGUCCCCUGACACCGUCCCCAACACUGUCCCUGUCCCCAUUGCUGUCCCUGACACUGUCCCCAACAGCCCUGGUCACGUCCCCUGACACCAUCCCUGUCCCCAACAGCCCUGAUUGUGUCCCCUGACACUGUCUCUGUCCCCAACAGCCCUGGCUGUGUCCCCUGACACCAUCCCUGUCCCCAGUGCUGUCCCCCAACAGCCAUGGCCGUGUCCCCAACACUGUCCCUGUCCCCGACACUGUCCCCCAACAACCCUGGUCAUGUCCCCUGACACCGUCCCUGUCCCCAGUUCCGUCCCCCAACAGCCUCAGUCGUGUCCCCAACGCUGUCCCUGUCCCCAACACCGUCCCCAACAGCUCUGGUCGUGUCCCCAACGCUGUCCCUGUCCCCAACAGGCCCCCCCCUCACACUGUGUCCCCCAACAGCCCUGGUCAUGUCCCCUGACACCGUCCCCAGCACUGUCCCUGUCCCCAUUGCUGUCCCUGACACUGUCCCCAACACCCCUGGUCACGUCCC